UACGAGGGGGGCAAGCGUUGUUCGGAAUUAUUGGGCGUAAAGGGUGCGUAGGCGGUUUUGUAAGUCUUGUGUGAAAUCUUCAGGCUCAACUUGAAGACCGCACGAGAAACUGCAGGGCUUGAGUGUGGGAGAGGUGAGUGGAAUUCCUGGUGUAGCGGUGAAAUGCGUAGAUAUUGGGAGGAACACCAGUGGCGAAGGCGGCUCACUGGACCGGAACUGACGCUGAGGCGCGAAAGCGUGGGGAGCAAACGGG
rnacentral:rRNA from 1 species